UGGGGAAUAUUGCACAAUGGGGGAAACCCUCGAUGCAGCAACGCCGCGUGAGUGAUGAAGGUUUUCGGAUCGUAAAGCUCUGUUGUAAGAGAAGAACGUGUGUGAGAGUGGAAAGUUCACACAGUGACGGUAACUUACCAGAAAGGGACGGCUAACUACGUGCCAG
rnacentral:rRNA from 1 species